rnacentral:lncRNA from 1 species
AUGGAUCCCCUCUAUCGUCCCGAAUUCCUCAUCCUUCUGCUGAAGCAGGAAGAACGCUCUCUCGAGGACCAUACCAGAUGGUUUCUCCUAUUAGCAAAUGCCACCAGCUACCCGGACGGCGCGCUCUGCACCUUCUACAACACCAGCCUGAACUCCAAAUGCAGAGCGUUGUCGUCCGAAGAUGGUCCUCGAGAGAAUUUCGCCGCAUACGUGGAGUGGACUCUGGCGAGAAAUGGCUCAUCUCUCACCGUCUGCCCCAUAGAGGACCUCGCCAGCCCCACUCCCGACCCAGAGACCAGCCAGCCACCAUCUCGCUACACGGAGCCAGAGCCCACCGCAGCCGCAGAGCCCGAGCCAUCCAUUGACAGGGAACAGGAUCUCGAGAGCGCGACUGACCAGGUGUGUGAGCCGGCAACACCGUGCAUCGUGGGAGUCCUCGUGGAGAUCGAGGGCGUGGAGGAAAGCCCUGCCCACACUCCUGCGACUGAGGGUGAGCUGUAUACAGUCUCUGAAGGCCAUAUGGAGCAAGCUCCGGAUCUGAUGGACUGGUCUAUGGAGGUAAUCCCUAAUUUUCCUGUUUCCCCGCUGGUUCCGUCCAGCCCUGAUUCCCCUGUAUACCCUCUCAGUCUCCCACUCCUACCUCCUCCAGUCAUUUCCUCUGCUCCAUUUCCGCUGGUUCCGCCCAGCCCUGAGUUUCCUGUGUCUCCGCUGGUUCCGCCCAGCUCUGAAUCUUCUGUUUCUCCGCUGGUUCCGCCCAGCCCUGAGUUUUCUGUUUCUCCGCUGGUUCCGCCCAGCUCUGAAUCUUCUGUGUCUCCGCUGGUUCCGCCCAGCUCUGAAUCUUCUGUGUCUCCGCUGGUUCCGCCCAGCUCUGAAUCUUCUGUGUCUCCGCUGGUUCCGCCCAGCCAUGAUUUUUCUGUGUCUCCGCUGGUUCCGCCCAGCUCUGAAUCUUCUGUGUCUCCGCUGGUUCCGCCCAGCUCUGAAUCUUCUGUGUCUCCGCUGGUUCCGCCCAGCUCUGAAUCUUCUGUGUCUCCUGUAUUCCCUCCCAGCCUCCCUCUCCCGCCUCCUCUCAAACCUGCUGGUCCCUCUACUCCUCUUUCGCUGGUUCCGUCCAGUCCUGAUCCUCCUGUCCUUCCUCCCAUCCUUCUCCUCUCUCCUCCUCCUAGACCAGCCAGUUCCUCGCCAUCCCUGCUGGUGCCAGUCAGUCCCGCAGCUCACCCUCAGUCCGCGCCAUCGGGGCGCGGUGGUUCGCCGCUGGACUGCCAGUCUCCAGCUCCGCCUUGGCGUGUUAAGGCCCUGUCUCCGCCUCCAGCCUCCGAGCCCUGGACUCCUCCUCGGUCCUUCGACCCAGCGGCUCCGCCUUGGCUCUUAGCUCCCUCGUCUCCACCGUGGCCUGUCAUCCCACCUGCUCCACCGGGCUUCCUCGUCCCUCCGGCUCCACCUUGGUCAGUCGUCGACCAUCCGCCGCCUCGGGACUCCACUCCUCUGGUUCCACCUCGUCACUCCAUCCCUCCGGCUCUGUCAGGCUCCUCCUUCCCUCCGGUUCCACCUCCAUCCUCGGUCGCUCCGGCUCCACAUCGGUCUGCCAGGACCCUGCCUCCGCCUUGGUCGCCUGAGCCUUCAGCUCCACCUAGGCCCUCCGGAUCCUCGACGUCACCCUGGCUCUGCGGCUGUGCUGCUCCAUCUUGGGCUCCUCACCCACCGGUGCAGUCUCCGCCUGUCGGCCCCCUGGUGUCGUCGACCCUUCCUUCACCAUGGCUCCUCCCGCCGUCGACUCCACCUUGGAUCUCCGUCCUGGCUGGUCUCUGGUGGACCAUCUGGCUCCUCCUGCUCCUGUCUCCUCCCUGGCUCCUCCCUCCGUCGUCUCCUCCCUGGCUCCUCCUUCUGUGGUCCCUGUCUGCUGGCCCCCUCCUGGGAGUCCGUCCUCCACCGGAACCUCCUCCCAAGUUCCCACCCACGCCUCCCUCUGUUGUUUCUACGGUGCGAGGACGCACCUACCGGGAGGGGGGAGUACUGUCACACACCUGGACUCAUUUAGUGUUUUUGCCCCUGUGA